GUACACUUCUGCACCACAGAAAGAUGGGGCCAAUCAGAGGCUUUAGGUUUAUUGGAUGGCUAUUUAUUUCUACAAGUAUUAUGUAUUUUAUACUUUUCAACAAGUAUGCUGAUAAACUCUGGCAUAUCUGACUUCAAACCAUAGUAGAGGUAUGAGUAUAGUAG